GAUGAAGAACGUAGCGAAAUGCGAUACUUGGUGUGAAUUGCAGAAUCCCGUGAACCAUCGAGUCUUUGAACGCAAGUUGUGCCUCAAGCCAUUAGGUUGAGGGCACGUCUGCCUGGGCGUCACAUAUCGUUGCCUGAUGCCAGUUUCCCGUGAUGGGUGACUGUGCAGGGCGAAUGAUGGCUUCCCGUGAGCAUUGUUGCCUCAUGGUUGGUUGAAAAUUGAGUCCUUGGUAGGGAGCGCCGUGAUAGAUGGUGGUUGAGUGACGAACGAGACCCAAUCAUGUGAGACCCCUACCGAAUUUGGCCUUCAUGACCCACAUGCGUCUUUGGAACGCUCAUGACGAGACCUCAGGUCAGGCGGGGCUACCCGCUGAGUUUAAGCAUAUCAAUAAGCGGAGGA
rnacentral:misc_RNA from 1 species